CAAAAGUAAGACCUUUCUCCAGGGCUCUCUAAUGCCAUUAUAUAGCAAAUAUGUAACUUUAUCAGGGACUAUUGUUGAGCUUUCAAAAAUUCUAUAGAAAAGUUGGUAUUUUCUGCUCCUUUAGUAACAGGUCGGUGUGUGCGUGUGGCUGCCAGUUUUAUUGGCAGCUUUAUUAACUUCCUUGCUGCCACAGCAGUGGCUUUUUUCUCUCCACUUCAGACUAUUUUUUUUCCCUGAUUUUGCUUCUUCGCUUCAAGCUGCACUGCCUCAGAAUCCCAGCCCCAGCCAGCACCCUAAUGCACUAAGGAACAAUGUGAAAUGUAGUAAAUAAUGCUUGAAGUGUGGAUAAAACUGUAGCCUUUUCAUUUUUUUCUCCACUGUUUAGUCCAUUGCAUGUGUAUUCUAUGUUUGUCUGAUGAGGAAACAUUAGAUCUGAUUCAUCAAGGUAAAGGUGAUCUUAAGGUUAAAUAGAAAGUCUCACUGAUUUCUUGAGGCUGCUCAUUUCUUAGAGAAAGAGAAGCAUUAAUGUGCAAUAAUGAAUUGAAUUCAUAACGUAUUAAACAUGCAUAUGCUGUUUUUCCAGGUGAAUUUAAAGAUUGUCAUUGUGAUAUCAUCACAACAAAUACUUCUCAGGAGAAGUUCUUACUUCACCACAUGAGUUAACCAGAUGUAUUACCAGCAAAGUCCCAGGGAUGUCAGCAGUGUGGGCUGUGAUUUUCAGCGUAGCAUUAAAGAGAGGUUUCAGGAAGGUGUGUGCUGGCAGGGAGCAGGCCAACCAGCCAGAGGUAAAAUGAUUAAUAGAUGAUUUGUAUGUAAGAAAAUAAGUAUUUCCUGAAAUGUCAGUAGCUACUACAUAAAUAUAUGCUCCAUUAUUUGACACUGCAGUGAUAAAUCCAUGCUGUGUGACAGCAUUAUGGUCUGAGGAUUGAGUUGUGAUGUCAUGGAACAGAAGUUUGACCAGUCGUUAGAAGAUGAAAGUGGAUCCAGUGCUUUUACAGUAAGAGAAGAAGGCAGGAGCUGUAUGCAGGGCUUUCUGGCCUCCAGAAUGCUUUUGGAUGCCUUGCUAGGCAUCCUUGUCCGUAACCACACUAAGAGUGCUGCGUGCUGGAUGUGCUUUCUCCUUCAUGCCGAUGUCAUGCACAUCCUCCGGACAAAUCCAUCAUUGGAGAGGUCUGGGCAUCCCUGCAAUGUCCUGAUGGUGUCAGCGUUGGUGGAAGGAAGGAGAACCAGUCCCUGCUGUGAUGCUGGGGUGCUGUGCUGAAUCCCACAGGUGCCAAGAGAGGAGGAACUGCCAAUUCCCAGACUGUUGGCUGAAGGGAAGAGAGAAGUUGGAAGCUGUCUGUCUGCAAUUUUGGGUGAGUGCUGAUUUUUUCUUGUUUAGAUAAACUAGUGAGUUAAAAAAAAAAAACAAACCAAAAAAAACCCAAAAAAACGUUGACCCCAAAAUCCAGGCACAUCCAUUGUUGUAACAAUUAACUUUUACUCACUAAGAACAUUUGGCAUGUAAAAACAUUUAAAAGGUUGCACAUCGAUAAGUGGUCGUAACGCGUAGAAAACUCUGUGCUUGCUCAUUAGGGAUCCGGUGCAACUGCAGCCACACGUUCCACCAGAACCCCCCUGCUGACUGUGUGCAGUCCUGCUGAGAACUCCAGUGGAUUCAGAAAAGACAACGUACAAAGCUUCUGUAGGUUCAACUGUCCGUUAUGUGUUUAUGUCAUACCCAGUGCACACACAAACACCAGUGCUUGCUGAGGUCUUCCACUUUUAACAUACUAAUUCAGUGAAAUGCUCAGAGUACUUGUUGACUUGAAACCUGGUGAAACUAUAGUUCCAUAUCGGACCCAAACUUGUUACUGUUUGGUUAGGUUUAGCUAUCUCACUUUUUGCUUUUGAGGGAACAUAAAUCCCAUUCACAUUUUUUUUUUUUCAAACGUGUAUGCCAAGGAUUUGGUUGUUUUCUUUCAGUUUGGGAGCACUGAGUUGGUUUUUGUCCUAACUGAUCAUAAUGACAGCUAAAUGUCAGCUUCAUUUGCGUCUCAGCUCUGAAUAUGAACAGAAAAGUAUACAAAAAGGAAAAGUUUUUAUACGCUGAAUUGCUUUUGCUGUGUACCUUAUGCCAGACAGUUUUGAUUCUGCAUGUGACUUACAGUCUAAAAGCCAGACCUAGUUUUCUAAUUAUUUUCAGUAUUUUGCAUCCAGUGCAGAGAACACUAUUAAAAUAAAUGCAUAAAAAACAACA
rnacentral:lncRNA from 1 species